AGCGAACGCUGGCGGCAGUCUUAACACAUGCAAGUCGAGCGGGCAUCCUUGUGGUGUCAGCGGCAGACGGGUGAGUAACGCGUGGGAACGUGCCCUUCGGUUCGGAAUAACUCAGGGAAACUUGAGCUAAUACCGGAUACGUGCGAGAGCAGAAAGGUUUAUCUGCCGAAGGAUCGGCCCGCGUCUGAUUAGCUAGUUGGUGAGGUUAUGGCUCACCAAGGCGACGAUCAGUAGCUGGUCUGAGAGGAUGAUCAGCCACACUGGGACUGAGACACGGCCCAGACUCCUACGGGAGGCAGCAGUGGGGAAUAUUGGACAAUGGGGGCAACCCUGAUCCAGCCAUGCCGCGUGAGUGAUGACGGCCUUAGGGUUGUAAAGCUCUUUUCUCCGGGACGAUAAUGACGGUACCGGAGGAAUAAGCCCCGGCUAACUUCGUG
rnacentral:rRNA from 1 species